CUGCAGCCAAUUAAGCCAACUGUGUUGCCUUCCCCAUGGUAUCCAGUGUGCUUUGCAGCCUCCUGGGUAGUGUAGCAGCCUGUUGUUUGUACAGGCUGCCCUAAGGGGCCCUGGAGACAGCC
ensembl:snoRNA SNORA70 Small nucleolar RNA SNORA70